GACGAACGCUGGCGGCGUGCCUAAUACAUGCAAGUAGAACGCUGAAGCGAGGAGCUUGCUCUUCUUGGAUGAGUUGCGAACGGGUGAGUAACGCGUAGGUAACCUGCCUUGUAGCGGGGGAUAACUAUUGGAAACGAUAGCUAAUACCGCAUAACAAUGGAUGACACAUGUCAUUUAUUUGAAAGGGGCAAUUGCUCCACUACAAGAUGGACCUGCGUUGUAUUAGCUAGUAGGUGAGGUAAUGGCUCACCUAGGCGACGAUACAUAGCCGACCUGAGAGGGUGAUCGGCCACACUGGGACUGAGACACGGCCCAGACUCCUACGGCAGGCAGCAGUAGGGAAUCUUCGGCAAUGGGGGCAACCCUGACCGAGCAACGCCGCGUGAGUGAAGAAGGUUUUCGGAUCGUAAAGCUCUGUUGUAAGUCAAGAACGGGUGUGAGAGUGGAAAGUUCACACUGUGACGGUAGCUUACCAGAAAGGGACGGCUAACUACGUG
rnacentral:rRNA from 1 species